GCCUGAUCCAGCCAUGCCGCGUGCAGGAUGACGGUCCUAUGGAUUGUAAACUGCUUUUGUACGAGAAGAAACACUCCAACGUGUUGGAGCUUGACGGUAUCGUAAGAAUAAGGAUCGGCUAACUCCGUGCCAGCAGCCGCGGUAAUACGGAGGAUCCAAGCGUUAUCCGGAAUCAUUGGGUUUAAAGGGUCCGUAGGCGGUUUAGUAAGUCAGUGGUGAAAGCCCAUCGCUCAACGGUGGAACGGCCAUUGAUACUGCUAAACUUGAAUUAUUAGGAAGUAACUAGAAUAUGUAGUGUAGCGGUGAAAUGCUUAAAGAUUACAUGGAAUACCAAUUGCGAAGGCAGGUUACUACUAAUGGAUUGACGCUGAUGGACGAAAGCGUGGGUAGCGAACAGGAUUAGAUACCCUGGUAGUCCACGCCGUAAACGAUGGAUACUAGCUGUUGGGAGCAAUCUCAGUGGCUAAGCGAAAGUGAUAAGUAUCCCACCUGGGGAGUACGUUCGCAAGAAUGAAACUCAAAGGAAUUGACGGGGGCCCGCACAAGCGGUGGAGCAUGUGGUUUAAUUCGAUGAUACGCGAGGAACCUUACCAAGGCUUAAAUGUAGUUUGACCGAUUUGGAAACAGAUCUUUCG
rnacentral:rRNA from 1 species